GAUGAAGAACGCAGCAAAAUGCGAUACUUGGUGUGAAUUGCAGAAUCCCGUGAACCAUCGAGUUUUUGAACGCAAGUUGCGCCCGAAGCCUUUUGGCCGAGGGCACGUCUGCCUGGGCGUCACGCAUCGCGUCGCCCCCCACAAUUCUCCGUAAAGGGAACAUGUGUUUUGGGGGCGGAUAUUGGUCUCCCGUGCUCAUGGCGUGGUUGGCCGAAAUAGGAGUCCUUUCGAUGGACGCACGAACUAGUGGUGGUCGUAAAAACCCUCGUCUUUUGUUUCGUGCUGUUGCUCGCAAGGUAAACUCUUUAGAAACCCCAAUGUGUCGUCUCUUGACGACGCUUCGACCGCGACCCCAGGUCAGGCGGGACUACCCGCUGAGUUUAAGCAUAUCAAUAAGCGGAGGA
rnacentral:misc_RNA from 1 species